GCCUCCAUAGCUCAGCGGUUAGAGCACUGGUCUUGUAAACCAGGGGGUCGAGAGUUCGAAUCUCUCUGGGGGCU